CAGGUUAGUUAUAAAAGUGAGUUGGGCUCCUCUUGCCCUCUCUCCUGUGUUCUCUUGCAUGUGGUACCUUUCACCAAACACCAAAUGGACUAAGACAACUACUUAAUCAUCACAACAAACUUAUUGAGGAACCCUAUUUUUACCAGCAUUUAUAAAAUGGGAAAACUCAAACACAGAGGGAUAUGCAACCGCCGAAAUUCACACGAUUCACCAUUGUGCUCUCCAGCUGGCUCUGAAGAAGCAAGCCACCACAUUGCUCACUGCUCGUGGAGAGGAACACACGUGGAGGAACUGUGCAUAGCCUCCAGGAGCUGAGUGUAGCUUCCAGGUGACAGUCAGGAAAAAUCUAGAGCUCUCAGUCCUACUACCGAGGCUGGAGUGCAAUGGCAUGAUCUCGGCUCACUGCAACCUC